rnacentral:rRNA from 1 species
ACGUGAUCUGAGUUCAGACCGGAGUAAUCCAGGUCAGUUUCUAUCUAUAAAGGGCUUUUUCUAGUACGAAAGGACCGAAAAAGCAUGGCCUAUGUCUUAUGCAAGCCAAAUUCAUUAAUUUAUGAUUUAAACUUAAUAAACAAUUAACCUACAAUUAAACUCUAAACAAGAGUA